UACAGGGGGGGCAAGCGUUGUUCGGAAUUACUGGGCGUAAAGGGCUCGUAGGUGGCCAACUAAGUCAGACGUGAAAUCCCUCAGCUUAACUGGGAACUGCGUCUGAUACUGGAUGGCUUGAGUUUGGAGAGGGAUGCGGAAUUCCAGGUGUAGCGGUGAAAUGCGUAGAUAUCUGGAGGAACACCGGUGGCGAAGGCGGCAUCCUGGACCAAUACUGACACUGAGGAGCGAAAGCCAGGGAGCAAACGGG
rnacentral:rRNA from 1 species